CAAGUCGAACGGCAGCGGGGGCUUCGGCCUGCCGGCGAGUGGCGAACGGGUGAGUAAUGCAUCGGAACGUACCCAGUCGUGGGGGAUAACUACGCGAAAGCGUAGCUAAUACCGCAUACGCCCUGAGGGGGAAAGCGGGGGACCUUCGGGCCUCGCGCGAUUGGAGCGGCUGAUGUCGGAUUAGCUAGUUGGUGGGGUAAAGGCCUACCAAGGCGACGAUCCGUAGCUGGUCUGAGAGGAUGAUCAGCCACACUGGGACUGAGACACGGCCCAGACUCCUACGGGAGGCAGCAGUGGGGAAUUUUGGACAAUGGGCGCAAGCCUGAUCCAGCAAUGCCGCGUGCAGGAUGAAGGCCUUCGGGUUGUAAACUGCUUUUGUACGGAACGAAAAGACUCCUUCUAAUAAAGGGGGUUCAUGACGGUACCGUAAGAAUAAGCACCGGCUAACUACGUGCCAGCAGCCGCGG
rnacentral:rRNA from 1 species